UCUGAUUUGUCAACAGGAACAACUGACUUGUGGCAGCUAAGCGUUCAUAGCAACCUUGCUUUUUGAUCUUCGAUAUCGGCUCUUCUUAUCAUACUGAAGCAGAAUCAGUAAGCGCUGGAUUGUUCACCCACUAAUAGGGAACAAGACCUGGGGUUUAGACCGUCGUGAGGCAAGCUAGUU
rfam:Mortierella elongata AG-77 unplaced genomic scaffold K457scaffold_53, whole genome shotgun sequence.